rnacentral:tRNA from 1 species
GCCCCGGUAGCCAAACUGGACAAGGCAGCGGAUUUCUACUCCGCCGAUUUGAGGGUUCGAGUCCUUCUCGGGGCGCCA